rnacentral:rRNA from 1 species
CAUGUCUCAGUACGAACCAAAUUAAGGCGAAACCGCGAAAGGCUCAUUAAAUCAGUUAUGGUUCAUUGGAUCGUACUCAAAAAUUACUCGGAUAACUGUGGUAAUUCUAGAGCUAAUACGUGCUAACAGAGUCCCGACCGGAGACGGAAGGGUCGCUUUUGUCAGAACAAAACCAAUCGGCUUCGGUUCGUCGUCGGGGGUUCCUCACGGAUCUCUCGUCACGUUCCUUUGUCGUACUAAUUGACGAAUACUAGACAACUUUUGCCGAUCGCACGGUCCAGUACCGGCGACGUAUCCUUCAAAUGUCUGACUUAUCAACUGUCGUUGGUAGCCUCUUGGCCUACCAUGGUUAUAACGGGUAACGGGGAAUCAGGGUUCGAUUCCGGAGAGGGAGCCUGAGAAACGGCUACCACAUCCAAGGAAGGCAGCAGGCGCCGCAAAUUACCCACUCCCGGCACGGGGAGGUAGUGACGAAAAAUAACGAUACGGGACUCAUCCGAGGCCCCGUAAUCGGAAUGAGAACACUUUAAAUCCUUUAACGAGGAUCAAUUGGAGGGCAAGUCUGGUGCCAGCAGCCGCGGUAAUUCCAGCUCCAAUAGCGUAUAUUAAAGUUGUUGCGGUUAAAAAGCUCGUAGUCGAAUCUGUGUCUUGCGCCGUCGGUUCAUCGCUCGCGGUGUCAACUGGCGCGUCGCAGGACGUCCUGCCGGACGGGCUUAGCCACGGCGUCGUCCUCCUCUCGCGUCUCGGGCACGUUUCGUCCCGUCGACGUCGUCGCGUCGCGUCGGGGGUGUACUCCUCUGGCACGUGCGCGUGCGGUCGUCUGGCGGGGUCAAAACGGUGCGUGUCGUCUGAGCGCGAGUGCGUCGACGUUCGGGGCGGUCCACCUUUUUUGAAACAAUCCCACCGCGGUGCUCUUCGCUGAGUGUCGAGGUGGGCCGGCACUUUUACUUUGAACAAAUUAGAGUGCUCAAAGCAGGCUAAAAACUCUGCCUGAAUACUUAGUGCAUGGAAUAAUGGAACAGGACCUCGGUUCUAUUUUGUUGGUUUUCGGAACUCCGAGGUAAUGAUCAAUAGAGACGGAUGGGGGCAUUCGUAUUGCGACGUUAGAGGUGAAAUUCUUGGAUCGUCGCAAGACGGACUUAAGCGAAAGCAUUUGCCAAAAACGCUUUCAUU